rnacentral:rRNA from 1 species
AAAUUGAAGAGUUUGAUCAUGGCUCAGAUUGAACGCUGGCGGCAGGCCUAACACAUGCAAGUCGAACGGUAACAGGAAGCAGCUUGCUGCUUUGCUGACGAGUGGCGGACGGGUGAGUAAUGUCUGGGAAACUGCCCGAUGGAGGGGGAUAACUACUGGAAACGGUAGCUAAUACCGCAUAACGUCGCAAGACCAAAGAGGGGGACCUUCGGGCCUCUUGCCAUCGGAUGUGCCCAGAUGGGAUUAGCUUGUUGGUGAGGUAACGGCUCACCAAGGCGACGAUCCCUAGCUGGUCUGAGAGGAUGACCAGCCACACUGGAACUGAGACACGGUCCAGACUCCUACGGGAGGCAGCAGUGGGGAAUAUUGCACAAUGGGCGCAAGCCUGAUGCAGCCAUGCCGCGUGUAUGAAGAAGGCCUUCGGGUUGUAAAGUACUUUCAGCGGGGAGGAAGGUGUUGAGGUUAAUAACCUCAGCAAUUGACGUUACCCGCAGAAGAAGCACCGGCUAACUCCGUGCCAGCAGCCGCGGUAAUACGGAGGGUGCAAGCGUUAAUCGGAAUUACUGGGCGUAAAGCGCACGCAGGCGGUCUGUCAAGUCGGAUGUGAAAUCCCCGGGCUCAACCUGGGAACUGCAUUCGAAACUGGCAGGCUAGAGUCUUGUAGAGGGGGGUAGAAUUCCAGGUGUAGCGGUGAAAUGCGUAGAGAUCUGGAGGAAUACCGGUGGCGAAGGCGGCCCCCUGGACAAAGACUGACGCUCAGGUGCGAAAGCGUGGGGAGCAAACAGGAUUAGAUACCCUGGUAGUCCACGCCGUAAACGAUGUCGACUUGGAGGUUGUGCCCUUGAGGCGUGGCUUCCGGAGCUAACGCGUUAAGUCGACCGCCUGGGGAGUACGGCCGCAAGGUUAAAACUCAAAUGAAUUGACGGGGGCCCGCACAAGCGGUGGAGCAUGUGGUUUAAUUCGAUGCAACGCGAAGAACCUUACCUGGUCUUGACAUCCACAGAAGAAUCCAGAGAUGGAUUUGUGCCUUCGGGAACUGUGAGACAGGUGCUGCAUGGCUGUCGUCAGCUCGUGUUGUGAAAUGUUGGGUUAAGUCCCGCAACGAGCGCAACCCUUAUCCUUUGUUGCCAGCGGUCCGGCCGGGAACUCAAAGGAGACUGCCAGUGAUAAACUGGAGGAAGGUGGGGAUGACGUCAAGUCAUCAUGGCCCUUACGACCAGGGCUACACACGUGCUACAAUGGCAUAUACAAAGAGAAGCGACCUCGCGAGAGCAAGCGGACCUCAUAAAGUAUGUCGUAGUCCGGAUUGGAGUCUGCAACUCGACUCCAUGAAGUCGGAAUCGCUAGUAAUCGUGGAUCAGAAUGCCACGGUGAAUACGUUCCCGGGCCUUGUACACACCGCCCGUCACACCAUGGGAGUGGGUUGCAAAAGAAGUAGGUAGCUUAACCUUCGGGAGGGCGCUUACCACUUUGUGAUUCAUGACUGGGGUGAAGUCGUAACAAGGUAACCGUAGGGGAACCUGCGGUUGGAUCACCUCCUUACCUUAAAGAA